GAUGAACGCUGACAGAAUGCUUAACACAUGCAAGUCAACUUGAAUUUGGGUUUUUAACUUAGGUUUGGGUGGCGGACGGGUGAGUAACGCGUAAAGAACUUGCCUCACAGCUAGGGACGACAUUUGGAAACGAAUGCUAAUACCUAAUAUUAUGAUAAUAGGGCAUCCUAUAAUUAUGAAAGCUAUAAGCGCUGUGAGAGAGCUUUGCGUCCCAUUAGCUAGUUGGAGAGGUAACGGCUCACCAAGGCGAUGAUGGGUAGCCGGCCUGAGAGGGUGAUCGGCCACAAGGGGACUGAGACACGGCCCUUACUCCUACGGGAGGCAGCAGUGGGGAAUAUUGGACAAUGGACCAAGAGUCUGAUCCAGCAAUUCUGUGUGCACGAUGAAGUUUUUCGGAAUGUAAAGUGCUUUCAGUUGGGAAGAAAGAAAUGACGGUACCAACAGAAGAAGUGACGGCUAAAUACGUG
rnacentral:rRNA from 1 species